rfam:Daucus carota subsp. sativus cultivar DH1 chromosome 7, whole genome shotgun sequence.
UGAAGUGAUGAAUUUUGCACUGGGCUCUGAUGAUUGUUGAUGCAUAACUAUGCAGCCUAGAAAGCUAUUUCUGAUCU